rnacentral:rRNA from 1 species
AACGAACGCUGGCGGCAUGCCUAACACAUGCAAGUCGAACGAGACCUUCGGGUCUAGUGGCGCACGGGUGCGUAACGCGUGGGAACCUGCCCUUAGGUUCGGAAUAACUCCCCGAAAGGGGUGCUAAUACCGGAUAAUGUCUUCGGACCAAAGAUUUAUCGCCUUUGGAUGGGCCCGCGUUGGAUUAGCUAGUUGGUAGGGUAAAAGCCUACCAAGGCGACGAUCCAUAGCUGGUCUGAGAGGAUGAUCAACCACACUGGGACUGAGACACGGCCCAGAAUCCUACGGGAGGGAGGAGGGGGGAAAAAUGGACAAGGGGCGAAAGCCUGAUCCAGCAAUGCCGCGUGAGUGAUGAAGGCCUUAGGGUUGUAAAGCUCUUUUACCCGGGAUGAUAAUGACAGUACCGGGAGAAUAAGCUCCGGCUAACUCCGUG